ACGCUCGACACCUACGGAAGGCAGCAGUGGGGAAUAUUGGGCAAUGGGCGCAAGCCUGACCCAACAACGCCGCGUGAAGGAAGAAGGCUUUCGGGUUGUAAACUUCUUUUGUCAGGGAACAGUAGAUGAGGGUACCUGACGAAUAAGCUCCGGCUAACUACGUGCCAGCAGCCGCGGUAAUCUGAGCGGGCUGGCAAGGC
rnacentral:rRNA from 1 species